rnacentral:tRNA from 1 species
GGCUGAGUAGCUCAAAGUAGAGCAUAGUAAUGUCUGUGUUCGAUCCACAGCUCAGCCACCA